UACGAAGGGGGCUAGCGUUGCUCGGAAUUACUGGGCGUAAAGGGAGCGUAGACGGACAGUUUAGUCAGUGGUGAAAGCCCAGGGCUCAACCUUGGAAUUGCCAUUGAUACUGAUUGUCUUGAGUAUGGGAGAGGUGUGCGGAACUCCGAGUGUAGAGGUGAAAUUCGUAGAUAUUCGGAAGAACACCAGUGGCGAAGGCGGCACACUGGCCCAUUACUGACGCUGAGGCUCGAAAGCGUGGGGAGCAAACAGG
rnacentral:rRNA from 1 species